rnacentral:rRNA from 1 species
GACGAACGCUGGCGGCGUGCUUAACACAUGCAAGUCGAACGAUGAAGAAAAGAAUUGAAGCUUCGGCAGAAAUUCAUUUCGGAUUAGUGGCAGACGGGUGAGUAACGCGUGAGCAACCUACCUCUUACAAAGGGAUAGCCUCGGGAAACCGGGAUUAAUACCAUAUAACAUUGCGACGAAGCAUUUCGAUGCAAUCAAAGCUACGGCGGUAAGAGAUGGGCUCGCGUCCCAUUAACCAGAUGGUGAGGUAACGGCUCACCAUAGUAACGAUGGGUAACCGGCCUGAGAGGGUGAACGGUCACACUGGAACUGAGACACGGUCCAGACUCCUACGGGAGGCAGCAGUGGGGAACAUUGCACAAUGGAGGGAACUCUGAUGCAGCGACGCCGCGUGAGUGAUGAAGGAAUUCGUUUCGUAAAACUCUGUUCUAUGGGAAGAAAAGGACUGUACCAUAGGAGAAAGCUCCGGCUAAAUACGUG